rnacentral:rRNA from 1 species
GACGAACGCUGGCGGCGUGCUUAACACAUGCAAGUCGAACGAAAAGAGGGAAAGAGCUUGCUCUUUCCGGAAUUGAGUGGCAAACGGGUGAGUAACACGUAAACAACCUGCCUUCAGGAUGGGGACAACAGACGGAAACGACUGCUAAUACCGAAUAAGUUCCAAGGGCCGCAUGGCCCAUGGAAGAAAAGGUGGCCUCUACCUGUAAGCUAUCGCCUGAAGAGGGGUUUGCGUCUGAUUAGCUGGUUGGAGGGGUAACGGCCCACCAAGGCGACGAUCAGUAGCCGGUCUGAGAGGAUGAACGGCCAAACUGGAACUGAGACACGGUCCAGACUCCUACGGGAGGCAGCAGUGGGGAAUCUUCCGCAAUGGGCGAAGGCCUGACGGAGCAACGCCGCGGGAGUGAUGACGGCCUUCGGGUUGUAAAACUCUGUGAUCCGGGACGAAAAGGCAGAGUGCGAAGAACAAACUGCAUUGACGGUACCGGAAAAGCAAGCCACGGCUAACUACGUG